rnacentral:rRNA from 1 species
UACAGGGGGGGCAAGCGUUGUUCGGAAUUACUGGGCGUAAAGGGCCAGUAGGCGGCCAACUAAGUCACACGUGAAAUCCCCAGGCUUAACCUGGGAACUGCGUGUGAUACUGGAUGGCUUGAAUUCGGGAGAGGGAUGCAGAAUUCCAGGUGUAGCGGUGAAAUGCGUAGAUAUCUGGAGGAAUACCGGUGGCGAAGGCGGCAUCCUGGACCGACAUUGACGCUGAUGAGCGAAAGCUAGGGGAGCAAACGGG